rnacentral:rRNA from 1 species
CUGGCGGCGGCUUACCAUGCAAGUCGAGCGGUACAGGAGAAGCUUGCUUCUCGCUGACGAGCGGCGGACGGGUGAGUAAUACUUAGGAAUCUACCUAGUAGUGGGGGAUAGCACGGGGAAACUCGUAUUAAUACCGCAUACGACCUACGGGAGAAAGGGGGCAGUUUACUGCUCUCGCUAUUAGAUGAGCCUAAGUCGGAUUAGCUAGAUGGUGGGGUAAAGGCCUACCAUGGCGACGAUCUGUAGCUGGUCUGAGAGGAUGAUCAGCCACACCGGGACUGAGACACGGCCCGGACUCCUACGGGAGGCAGCAGUGGGGAAUAUUGGACAAUGGGGGAAACCCUGAUCCAGCCAUGCCGCGUGUGUGAAGAAGGCCUUUUGGUUGUAAAGCACUUUAAGCAGUGAAGAAGACUCCAUGGUUAAUACCCAUGGACGAUGACAUUAGCUGCAGAAUAAGCACCGGCUAACUCUGUGCCAGCAGCCGCGGUAAU